rnacentral:lncRNA from 1 species
GGCUGGCUGAAGGCAGAGGUUGACUGUUGGACAGAAAGGCAACGGACAGAUGCUCCUCACAACGCACAGCAGAGACUUCUCCAUAGAGACCAGUCAGGCAGGAGAUACUGGAGGCUAAAGCGGCUGGACAGUGGAUGAACUGACUAGACUGGACAAUGGUCAGAGCACACGCAGGAAAUCAGAAUAGUGAUCCUCAAAAUUUAAGGAGAGUUACAGCAGCCUUGGAGUAGCACUAGGCAGUAAGAGCUGGAGUCGAAGCAGUCUGUUCUCUACGAGUCUACAGUAAGCCCAGUUACACAAAUAAGGGGACAUCACCUGUUGCAGUGUGGGUCUAGGGUAACUUGGAUGUGUGUUAUACGCUGUGGAACACUGAGACAUAGAGAUGACUGGAGACCUCCUGUCUGGGCUUCUGCUCUGUUGCAUAGUGGUGCUGUGUGAAUGUGAGCCAACACAACCGGGGCCAGACAAAGGAGAGAUGGACUCAGGUGGUGAGUUCUGGAACUGUCAAUCACUUUCAAUAUGAUGGCAGCAACUCUUACAACCUGAUGUAUGAUGCUAGAAUGUCUUUAGGAUAUCAUGUCAUUUCCCUGUUGUUUCCAUAGAGAUUUGCUCAAAGAGAUGAUAGAGGA